AUGUUCACUAUGUUAAGACCGUACAUGUGUCCCCAGAUCUAGUUCUUUACCUAGGUCUGGUUUUAUAAAUGCUGGUGAUAAAC
ensembl:snoRNA SNORA72 Small nucleolar RNA SNORA72